GUUCCUGAAUCCCGUCGCGGCCCCGGCCGGGGGCAUCUCCUUCCAUCUGCAGAUCGGCUUGAGCCGCGAGCCGGUGCUGCUGCUGCAGGACUCGUCCGGGGACUACAGCCUGGCGCACGUCCGCGAGAUGGCUUGCUCUAUCGUCGACCAGAAGGUGGCAUAUUAUUGAAAUUAAAAUAGAAGAAAAGUCUCUGCCAACAAUUAAGCAUCACACUGAGUCACACCUGCUGCCUUAAAGAUAAGCAUAUAAUUUAUUAGACAGACUUCUUGAGCAAUAUCUGAUACAGUUCAGUUCAGUUCAAUCGCUCAGUUGUGUCUGACUCUUUGCGACCCC
rnacentral:lncRNA from 1 species